AGUGAACGCUGGCGGCAGGCCUAACACAUGCAAGUCGAGCGGCAGCGGGUCCUUCGGUAUGCCGGCGAGCGGCGGACGGGUGAGGAAUGCGUCGGAAUCUGCCUUUUUGGGGGGGAUAACGUAGGGAAACUUACGCUAAUACCGCAUACGACCUACGGGUGAAAGUGGGGGACCGCAAGGCCUCACGCAGAAAGAUGAGCCGACGCCGGGUUAGCUAGUUGGCAGGGUAACGGCCCACCAAGGCGACGAUCCGUAGCUGGUCUGAGAGGAUGAUCAGCCACACUGGAACUGGGACACGGUCCAGACUCCUACGGGAGGCAGGAGUGGGGAAUAUUGGACAAGGGGCGCAAGCCUGAUCCAGCCAUGCCGCGUGUGGGAAGAAGGCCUUCGGGUUGUAAAGCACUUUUGUCCGGAAAGAAAGCCAAACGAUUAAUACUCGGUUGGGAUGACGGUACCGGAAGAAUAAGCACCGGCUAACUCCGUGCCAGCCGCCGCCGUAAUAC
rnacentral:rRNA from 1 species